UAAAUUCAUGUAUUGUUUCAAUUUUUUUUUUUCUUUCUAUGAUUGAUCUUUAGAUUUUGGUAAAUUUGAUUGUGUAUUGUAUAGUGGGUUUUGUUAAUCGGAUAUUAACAAUUUCAGGUUAUAUUCAUACUACAUUUUUUGUCUUUUUUUUUCUUUUCCAUGUUCACUGUUUGGAUGUUGAGAAAAUUGAGAAAUGAGAAAAUAAAAUAAAACACUGAUUUGUACUUUUCUUUGCUGCUUUAAUUACCUAUAUAUUAGGUUAAGUUUGAGAGAGACUUUGUGUUCUUUUCAGGUCACCGUGAUGAAAACUCUGAACUAUCUACACAUUUUUGUGAUCUUUUAUGUUUUUGUUGCACAGGGGCUUUCAAAAUACAAUUGAAUUUGACUAACUAUUAUGUUCCUGUAUUUAGUUUUUGGUGUAUUUGUUUAUGUGAGUAUGUAACUGUGUGUAUGUUUGAGCUGAAAAUUUUAAAUAAUUGUCACAAUGGUAAUUGUGUAUGAAGCUUGUUUGAGCAAAAAUAUAUUUUGCAGUAGUUUAAGUGGUGCACCUUUUUUUCUUUUUUUUUUUAUGAGUAAUGGUGUUUGUUCACAGUAGGCGCAAUAGGUAUACUGCUCACACUGUAUUGCAGCUGUUAAGAAAGCUAACCACAUUUUUUUUACGUCUUCUGUUUGAUAGAUUAGUCCAUCUCAGAGAAUUCUGUUAUUUUGCUCUGUUCAAUGGAAAGAAAAUGGAUUUUUUUUUUGGAAAUUGAGGGUCUUGUCUUGCCUGAAUAGUUUAACUAUCAAUGCACUGCAUAAUUUGAAGGAUAUGGCAUUUGUUGAGUUUUGCAAUUUUUCUCUGGGAAUAUCAAGUUAGUUUGUUCCCCAUCAAAAUAUAUGUUUUAUAUAUUUAUUAUAUGUUGAAUGUAUUAUUAAUGUUUCAUUUAAAAUUGAUACACAUAUUCAAAAUAACAUGAAUUCUUCAAGUUUAUGGGAUGAUGAGAUAAUAGGGUAUGAUAAAAGUCAUGUUAGAAAAUCUGAAAGUAACUUUUGAAAUGAAAAAUGAUGGAAAAACAAUAAUGUAAUUAUUUGAUUCUAAAAGAGUAUUUUCUCAAGGGUAUUUUGUGAAUCCAAUGAGAGCAGUGGUAUAUGAUCCGAAUGAUUUCUCUGAAUUUUUCAUUCGACACUACAUGACAUUCCUAUUAAAUACUUGCCAUCAACUACAAUUAUGGAAUUUUUUGCUUUGUGAUCAAUCAUGAUAAUCUGGUUGUUCUUGUAGAAUCUUUAUUAGAGAUACUUAGUUAUCUUUGAUGAAGCUCUAUAUCAUAAUCUAUCAAGAGCAUUGUAGGAACUUUUAGUUUCUUCAUUAAUAUGCUUCAUGCUAGAAAUGCUUCUAGCAUGCUUGAUAAUUUUGAUUCAGAUUGCACCACCGGGAUGCAAAAAUCAUGACAAUUGUUUAUUUAGUAAGUAAUUAUCCAUGAAUGCAUAAAUGGCCUUAGACCCGUCCAUAAAUCUUCAUUAGAGAUAUCUAGUUAUCUUUGAUGAGGCUCUUCUUGGAUUGUCCAGUUUGGACAAUUUAGGAGCACACGUCUAUGUUGUAAUUAGUAGUUCUACCACUUAAAUGUAGUCUAUCUCGUAUAGAUUUCGUAUAGUAGCUCCUCAUGUGCUUCGGGUGCAUAGUAAUACAUCCAGUCUAUGUCAUGUACUUGGAGAACCAUGGGGAGAUGUUGCCGAAGUUUGGUUAGAGAUGGAUAGAGUGGUAUGAGCUACUUUUUACAAGAUAAACUGUGCAUUCCUAAAUGGGAAAGUAGGAUGAACCAACCUAUUAGAGAAGAGUUAGAGGUGAAUGGUGUCAUGUCACAUGCAUUUUAAGGUACUUAAUUAAGGUUAAGAAUAAUUAAAAUGAAAUGAUAAUUUUGAACUUUGUUGAUUAGGCAGUGACAAUUGUAUUGUAAGACGAAGUCAGAUGGAUAAAAAUUAGAUAAAUCAACAUAGGUUGCAUCUAGAAUAUAUAAAAGGGGUUAAGGAAUUCGUUAAACUUGUAUGCCAAAAUAAUCCUUUAUCAAAUGAAGUCACAUGCCCAUGUAAAUGGUGUUGGAAUGUCAAACUAGUAAAGAAAGACCUUUUAAGGGAACAUUUAAUGGUCAAUGGGUUUCUUCCAAGCUACACCAGAUGGAUUUUUCACGGGGAAGAUUUACUGGUGUCUGUGCCAUUCAAUGAGAAUAUCAGUGAUUCGAAUGAUGGCGAUGAAGUCAUUGAAAUAAUAUAUAAGGGGUUCGGACUUCCUCCACCAAGCUUGGUUCAUCUUGCUAGUAAUGAGACAAGAAGUUCUAAUAUCGAACUAGGCCCAAAUAAGAAAACUGAAAAAAAAUUUAUUGAAGGAGGCCGAAAGAGAGUUGCAUCCAGAGUGUCACAAGUUUUCAACGCUCUCAUUUGUUGUUCGCUUAUUGCAUAUCAAGUGCCUUAGUGGAUGUAGCGACAAGUCUUUUACAAUGUUGUUUAAACUUUUGAAGGAUGCAUUCUCAAAAGGUGAAACUUUGCCAAAGUCAUUCUAUGCAACGAGGGUACUCCUUAGGGAAUUGGGCCUCGAUUAUCACAAUGUACAUGCAUGCCCAAGAGAUUGCUCACUGUAUUGAAAGGAGACAGCUAGUAAGGAUGAUUGCAUAGUGUGUCAGAUGCCUAGAUACAAAUAGUUUGAGGGUGAGAAAAAUAAUUAUAAAAAAAAAAAAAGCAACAAAGAAUUCUCUAGAAGAUUGUGAGAUACUUUCCUGUAAUUCCAAGGCUUCAAAGAUUGUUCAUGUCAUCCAAAACUACUUCAUUAAUGAGAUGGCGUGCAGAGGGCUGAAUUGAUGACGGCAGAAUGAGACAUCCUGCUGACUCUCCGGUCUGGAAAAAUUUUGAUACUUUGUAUCCCAAGUUUGUGAGUGAGCCUCGCAAUGUUAGACUAAGUUUAGCAACGGAUGAAUUUAAUCCAUUCAAGGCAAUGAAUGUUGCUCACAACAAUUGGCUAGUUAUUGAGAUGCCUUAUAAUUUGCCACCGUUGUUGGGUAUGAAGCAACCUCAUAUGAUGAUGAUAUUGCUCAUUAAUGGUCUUUCUUCACCUAGAAAUAACAUUGAUGUCUACUUGGGCUUGAUAGUGGAUGAACUGAAUGAAUUGUGAAAAAAUGGUGUUUAGACGUACGAUGCAGAAACUAAUCAAAUGUUCCAAUUGCACGCAAUCUUACUGUGGACAAUAAAUGAUUUUCUUACAUAUGCAAAUUUUUCUGGAUGGAGCACGAACGGCACUUUCGCUUGUCCUUGUUGUAACAUACGUACUCGACAUCGGUAUUUGAAGAAUGGAAGGAAAAUUUGUUACAUGGGGCAUCACCACUGGUUGAAUGCGAGUCAUAAAUUUUGAAAAGAUGGUGCAUCUUUUGAUGGAACUUCUGAAUUGAACCAUGUCCAACUCAGUUAUCAAGGGCUAAUGUGUUACGACAGUUAGGGCUUAAGCAUCAACCAAUUAACAGACAAAAAAAAACUAGGAAAUAAAAGGAUAAAGAGGACGAUGAGGAGAAUCAUGAUUGGAGGAAAAGGAGUACUUUCUUUGAGCUUCCAUAUUGGGAGCAUAAUUUGAUUUGCCAUAAUCUUAAUGAAAUGCACAUUGAGAAGAACGUGUGUGAUAAUAUAUUGUGGACGAUAUUAAAUAUUGAAGGGAAAGGAAAGGACAAUUUAAGACUUGCAAGAUAUGGGAAUUCGAAAGGCACUACAUCCUAAAAAAGGGGUUAGGAACCGGUAUUAUUUGCCGCAUGCAUGUUUCGCUACGAAUAAUAGAGAGAGAGGUUUGUUUUGUACACUCCUGAAGAAUAUCAAAGUUCUAGAUGGGUAUGCAUCCAAUAUUUCUCGUCGUGUUAACUUAAACAACAUAGCAUAUUUGGAUUGAAAAGUCAUGACAACCAUAUGUUGAUGCAACAAAUACUUCCAAUAGUAGUGAGAAAUUUGUUGUCGAAGAAAGUGGUUGAACCAUUGAUUGAGUUAAACAAUUUCUUCAGGCAAUUGUGCUCCAAAACUCUAGAGCCAGAUAGGUUAAAUCGUCUUUAAUCCCAAAGUGCUCUUACACUUUGCCAUCUUGAGAGAAUUUUUCCUCCAUCCUUUUUCGAUAUAAUGGAGCACUUGCCCAUUCACCUAGCAGAGGAGGCCAAGAUUGCCGGUUCAGUGCAAUAUUGUUGGAUGUACUUUAUAGAAAGGUGUACAAUUCUACUCCAUUUUGCAUUUGUAUUCAUUUGUUUGUUUAUAAUUGAAAGUCAUGCGUGCAUUUGUUUGUUUAUAGUUAUCUUAUGACACUUAAAUCAUAUAUGCGUAAUCGAAGUCAUCCAAAAGGUUCAAUUGCAGAGGGAUACUUAGUUGAAGAGUGUAUGACCUUUUGCUCAAGGUACUUAGAUGAUGUCGAGUCAAAAUUGAAUCAACCGAUAAGGAAUUACGAUGUUAGCAACAAUCCUAGGAUAUUACUGGGUCAUGCUUUAGGAAAAGGAAAAGGGCUUGUGCUUGAUAACACAUCAUGGGUACAAGCUCAUCGAUGUGUGUUAUUUAACACUGCAGCGGUUGUCCCAUAUCGAGAGUAAGUUACACAUCUUUGUUCCAAAAUUUUAUUGAUCCAUUAAUCAGUAUCUUGCAUUUUAUAAGUACUUUAAAUGUGUAGGGAGCAUUGUGAUUUUAUUAAGCGGUUACAUUGUCAUCUCAAAGAUUUUGAUGUGGAUCGCCGUCACAAUGAUGAGUUUCCCAUAUGGUUCAAUUCUCAUCAUGACAGAUCAAUGAUGCUCUAGGCAGAGGCAACAUUCAGCCUCUGCAAAUUUUGAGAGUUCUUAUAGUGGGAGUUCAGAUGAGAGUUCUUAUAGUGGAAGUUCAGAUAAAAGUUUAGAGGAGAGUACACGCAUCAUACCUGAUCCAACCAUGUCAUGGUAUCCUCCAGGUAGCUUGCCUAGUACUGGUUCAACACAUGACAUUGCAGCUGGUCAUAGUUCAAGAAGCCCGACAGUCUUGCAUGGUAGUGAUUGGAACCCAAGUGAUGGCAUUUUACAUAUUGUGCCUAAUGAGUUGAACCAAGUGGUUGACGGGCAUACACAUUUGGCUUCUUGUUUGGGUGUUUUAGCUCGAGAUGGGAACCUUACGCCCUUUACUUAGAGAACUUGAAGCCAUGUACUAAAGGAAAAUAAAGAGAGAAUUUGGAGAGAAGUUAAGGUAA